GUUGGGCCUUAUCGAAGCUACGUAUUACUUUAGUGAAUAUGUUAGUCAAAUUAUGGCCAAAAUUAAUUGAUCCCUAAACGGUCGCGGUUUAGACAAUCGUAUCUUCAACGUAUUACCAUCGGGACCUACAAUU
rnacentral:snoRNA from 1 species